GAUGAACGCUGGCGGCGUGCCUAAUACAUGCAAGUCGAGCGAACAGUUGAGGAGCUUGCUCCUCUGACGUUAGCGGCGGACGGGUGAGUAACACGUGGAUAACCUACCUAUAAGACUGGGAUAACUUCGGGAAACCGGAGCUAAUACCGGAUAAUAUAUUGAACCGCAUGGUUCAAUAGUGAAAGACGGUUUUGCUGUCACUUAUAGAUGGAUCCGCGCCGCAUUAGCUAGUUGGUAAGGUAACGGCUUACCAAGGCAACGAUGCGUAGCCGACCUGAGAGGGUGAUCGGCCACACUGGAACUGAGACACGGUCCAGACUCCUACGGGAGGCAGCAGUAGGGAAUCUUCCGCAAUGGGCGAAAGCCUGACGGAGCAACGCCGCGUGAGUGAUGAAGGUCUUCGGAUCGUAAAACUCUGUUAUUAGGGAAGAACAAAUGCGUAAGUAACUAUGCACGUCUUGACGGUACCUAAUCAGAAAGCCACGGCUAACUACGUG
rnacentral:rRNA from 1 species